rnacentral:lncRNA from 1 species
UUUGACCCUCAAGAUGAUCUUUGAUCAAAAAUCCUUCAACAUGAAAGUUGUUCGUCUCGUCGAAACAGUCAAGAUUACUUUUGGGCUUGUUUUCAUCCGAGAUCGUUUAUCACCGCAAAAAAUUCCCGCAAGGUGCAGCCAGUUUAAACCGAACAGUUUUGAGAAGUUCGGAUAAAACCAAUCCGAAUUUGACUAGGGUUUUGGACGUGAAUUGAUGUAAUUUUUCUUGUAAGGAAAGCCUAGAUAAAUUCUUUGCUUGUACGGGAAGUCCAGCCACCUCUUAUAUAUGUUAGGGGUGACGGCCGAUUGAAACAAUACCAAUCGGAUAAACACAUCUACUACUUUUUCGUGUUCAUCUAUCCCCUAUCCUUGUAUCUUCUUCCUCGUUCUUCGUUUGUUCUUCUUUUGCAGGGCGGCGAACCUCGAGGCCCUAGGGGCGAUCAGGUCGACCUAGGGCAGCCCAUAGCCGCCGCGCGCCCUGACGGGGUCCCUCCCGGGCGCGUGGGGUUUCGGGUCUACAAAAGCGCCCGCCGACUGUCUUGCGUAUCGCGCUGCCGGUCGGGUCUCCUUCGACGUGAGCUGCGAUGCAUCACCCCCGGCGUCGAAGGUACACGUGACGUGUUCGUAUGUCAACACCUGCCUUUCAGACUUGGCAAUGGAUUUGGGAUUAUUGAUGGCCUAGACAAUAAACAGUGAAUGAAGGAGUCAGAGGUAGCUUGAUAAAACUCAUGCCUACACAUGGAGCAGUCCUGAAUGUUUCACACAUAACUACUACAAGCUAGCUACGACGGGAACCAGCUGGAUCGAUUUCAUCCGCUGGCUGCGGACGCAUGUACGCGAAUGCUCAAGGAGCGCUGACCUCGGCGUCGAAAACUCAGGGCUGAAACAACCACGCCGAUCCGCAGCCCCGGCGGCAGAUCCACGCGGCCCCGUCAAGCAGCCGCCGGCCACCGCUGCCGCGCCUCCGCCACAGCCCCAGUUCGCCCCCGCGCGCAGGCCCGGCCACCAGGAGCCCAUACGCAGCCGCGCCGCAACUGGCCGACAAAAGCUCGGAGGAUUUAAGAGAGGAGGGAAUAGAGAAGGGGAACGCGGCGCCGUGGACUGGAGCACGGUCAUGGGUGUGUCCGUGUGUGUGUGGCUAGCAGGGAGAAGAGGUGAUGUGGAUAAGGCACGCAGUGGGAGAUAGCUCUUGUUGUGGAUUGCUUUUUUAGUUGGCUGCACCGAGUACCGACCAGAAGCUACUAGAUGUUGCUAUACGUGCCAGCACCGAUUGCAUUUUAUUUUUUCUUCUAAACGAGCACCGAUAUAAUAAUUGGCUGUUGUUGUUUGUUGUUAUUGUUAUAUUUUAAUUUCCAUGCCUGCCACAUCUUAUGAAUACAUCAUUGUGACACCUCAAAAAUUUGGCCUUGUUUUAAUGAAUUAAAUUUUUUUCCACAAAUUAAAACUUUGGAUAUCUGAGCUCCUUUUUGAUUUUUUUUAACCACUUCCUUCCCUGUGAUGAUGAGUUUUUCCCUAAGAGAAAUUUUUUCAAAUAUGUCAUUGGACAUAUUUAAUCUCUCAACAGAAACUUUCCCUUAUUUAAUAUAACUAAUUAAAUAAUUAAGUUGCUUGAUCUUUACUUUCUUGAAAAUGGUUUUUCAAGGUUAAAUGGCCAUAUUUGAACCACAACCAUUUGAUAGAUUCACUUAAAAUUCCCACAAAAAUUUGGAGAUGUCAUGUGAUGUUUUUAAAUCACUUUUGUGCAAAAAUAUAUUUCAUUCAUUGGAUAUUUUGAGCUCUACACCCAAUUUUCUUCUCUGGUGCAGAGAGCAAUUUUGCACUACAACCCUUUUAAAUAUUUGUUUCUAGCUUCCACCAAAAUUAUGGGAUGUCAGUAGGAUCAUAUUAUUCCAUUAUAUGCAAUAAUCCAGGGAUGAUCUUUGAGAUUUUUGAGUGAAUCAACCUCAUUUUCAUUCUGGACGAACUUGAUGGUUUGUACAGCAACCAUAUUUUUGCUUGCUCUUUAACCCUUGAUUCUUUAUCCUACUUGUAGUCCUCCAUGUUAAACCCUUAAGUCCAGGAGCAUGCACCCUUUGGAUCAUUUUUGGUUCAUGAAAUAAUGCUAUUUAUUUCCUGUCCAGAAUUGAAGUUUUGUAAAACUUGCACUAACAAGUUGCUGCAUUUGACCAACUAACCCCACCACCCUCUUGUACAUCUAAAGAGACCACCAUCUGGAGUUUUUGGCCACUCCAAGACCUGCCUAAGUGCCCUUAGCAUUUUGUCAAACACCUUACGGGCAUGAUCUAUUUUGCCAUGAAUUUUUGGUUUGCACUGUGAACCUGAUCCCCUGACCAAACCAGCUUGUCCACUGAUCUCCUUGCAAGCCCAAACCUAGACAUGUUAACCCCCAGCCUCAACCGCGACCUCUAGCAUGCUCUGGCAUUUCGUCGAGCACCCUCAGUGCGUGCACGGGACGCGCCCAGAGCGCGCGUAUUGCACGACCCGUGCGCCGAGCCGACACGCUGGCCCCACGGUUUUGGCUCGCUCCGCGGCAUCACGCCACGUGCUCCCCUUCUCACAGCUACGCGCCAAGCCGCCCCUCGCCGCGCCCGGCAGGCCAAGCGCUAGCCGCCGCCGCCGCCUGACAGCCUCUGCCCAUGUCGGCGCCGCCGAACCUUCCUCCGCUCGCCACCUGGCCCCUGGAACAGCGCGUGCUCAUCCGCGAGUGUGUCCACUAGCGCUCGUCGCCGCCACGAUGCCCCGCUGCUACAGAACGUCGGUUCGUCGGAAGCUUAUCCACGGCCGCCGCGGAACCGCCUUGCCUCGCUUAUAAAUGGACGCCCCGGGCCGUUCCCGCACACGAGCAACUUCAGGCCACCCCAAUGACGCUUCCCCAGCUCGCCAAUCGACCCAGGAGAGCUUCCUUCCUCAUCGCCGGCAUCUCCUGCCGCCGCCACCGCCCCGGCCAAUCAGGCACCUCCAGUACCUCCCCCUCUCCGUUCUCUUCGCCAGAAACCUCCUCAUCCUCCCGUGAACCCUUCCCCCUACUUGAUUUUGAUCGGGAACCACCGCCGCCUCAAAACCACUUUACCACCAAAGCUUCCCUCCGCCGCGGAGCUCGCCGCCGGCGAUUUCCUCCACCUCCGACGACCCUACGACUAUCGGAGUGACCACCUCGGCCCCCUAAAUCCGCUGGUGGCCUCAGCUUUCCGAAUGGAGCCACCAUUCGCCGGCGAUGAUCGCCGGAGCCCCGCUCCACUCGGGCAGAGGAGGGAGACGACGCGGGCGACUGGUCAAACCUGACCAGUGGGCCAGGCGGGCCCACCGUCAGAGACCCAGCGCCGGUCCACGUGGUUAAGUGGAGGCGUAAAGCCUCAAGUGCGCCUCCUCUGCACCGAAAGCGUAAUCUCGUUUGAAACGUUUUCUUUUUCUAUUUAAAAAAAACAGAUUUGACCAAAUCUUUGACUGGCUAUAACUUUUUAAAUACAACUCCAAAUGAAAUGAUUCUUUUUCCUACCUCUCUCAAAUUUCACCUAGUUUAUUUUAAGAUUUAUUUGAAAAAAAUUCAGAACAACUUUUGGUGCUGUUUUUAUUUACUGUGUUAAUUCUUUUAUAUUGCUAAAAUAGGAUUUUUGAAGAGAGGAGAAAUGUUUCAAGUUUUGGAGUGCACCCUGCCUUUCCACACAUUGAAGGCAAGCAUUCUGAACCCCGGCAUAAUAUUUUUGUGUGUUCGAUGACACGUUCAUAACAUCACCUCACUUUGGAGAAACUUGUUAUUUCAUGUGAUAUGUUCAUAUGCAUGGGUGCAUGUUAUUGAUUUCCAUGCUGUUGGAAAUGGACACACUUGUGAUGAUAAUCACCCUCAUGUGCCUUGCAUGCAUACCGGCAGGAACCCGGGAAAACCUCUGCCUUGGGUAGGCAUGAGUUUGUCGCCGGUCUCCGUCGGGACGGUUAUGUCUGGUAUGGCAUGGCAAGGUGAUAUGAGUGGUGACUCUGUUGGAUGAAAUAUAUUCGUCAUGCUAAUCAUGCAGGGAAUACUUAAACCUCCUGAGUCGACCGUAGAUCGAGUCUUGUGCCAGUAACCCCCAUACUUGUUUCGUACUACCACUCGUCUCUACAGCAAGUAGAGUACAGUUCAGUAAGUUGUCAACCUCUUUCUAGCACACACCGUACAGAGAGGCCAUGGUGGAAGAUACUGGUUGUAGCUGGUAGGCAGGCCACCUGGUCCGGGGGCAUGGGUGUUUCCGGUUGGGACCGAGAGGGGAGGCCACCCCUUAGAGCGCGCGAUAUAAAUUUGAUCCCAUGCUACGCGAGGUUGUAGCCUCCCCACUUAGAGUUUGCUUAACAGGUGUCGUGGGUGAUUCCAGACACGUGUGAGAUAAGCUGGUGUAUGCAAGUUAGGUGUGUUUUCAACAAAAAGACCGUAGACGGAAUUAGUCCCGAUGGACUAAAGAAAUCCGUUACUCGUGGGUAAAGAGUACACCCUCUGCAGAGAUUAAACCUAUUCGAAUAGCCGUGUCCAUGGUUAAGGAUUUCAGUCUGGGAUGGGUUAAGUGUCGGUCUUAGUGUUGGUCUUCGGAGGUGAAACUGUUAACCAGAAAUGGAAUUACUACUUGUGACUUGUGAUAACUAUGAUUAUUAUUAUUGUUGACUAACCCGUGAUAUUAUUGUUAUUAUCGAGUAUCUCUGGGAUGGUUCUACCUCCGGGAUAUUCACUAUGAUUGUUUAUUUUAAAGCCCUUUAUGUGGUGUCGCUCAGACGCCCGACUGUGGCAUUUCUUUUAAAGCCCUUUAUGUGGUGUCGCUCAGACGCCCGACUGUGGCAUUUCUUUUAAAGCCCUUUAUGUGGUGUCGCUCAGACGCCCGACUGUGGCAUUUCUUUUAAAGCCCUUUNNNNNNNNNNNNNNNNNNNNNNNNNNNNNNNNNNNNNNNNNNNNNNNNNNNNNNNNNNNNNNNNNNNNNNNNNNNNNNNNNNNNNNNNNNNNNNNNNNNGGUCUUCGGAGGUGAAACUGUUAACCAGAAAUGGAAUUACUACUUGUGACUUGUGAUAACUAUGAUUAUUAUUAUUGUUGACUAACCCGUGAUAUUAUUGUUAUUAUCGAGUAUCUCUGGGAUGGUUCUACCUCCGGGAUAUUCACUAUGAUUGUUUAUUUUAAAGCCCUUUAUGUGGUGUCGCUCAGACGCCCGACUGUGGCAUUUCUUUUAAAGCCCUUUAUGUGGUGUCGCUCAGACGCCCGACUGUGGCAUUUCUUUUAAAGCCCUUUAUGUGGUGUCGAUCAGACGCUCGACUGUGGCAUUUCUUUUAAAGCCCUUUAUGUGGUGUCGCUAAGACGCCCGACUGUGGCAUUGCUUGUUAUUUAUUUCAUAAAUUUUAAUACUACCAUGUUAUUGCAUUUUUAUAAAUAACCUGCUUGCACGCAUCAGAGUUUCAUUUAUCUUUUCUGACUGACGUCAUGAGCAUAAAAUAUUUUUAGCACAUCAUUGUUAUAUUAUACCUGUGUUCAUAAUGUUUGCGAGUACAUUCGAAGUACUCACUGGCUUGUCCCUGGUUAUUGUCUUGGCCAGAUUUUCUUGCACGAAGAGGAGCGACGCGAUGACAGCCCCGGCACCUAAGCAAUGGAGAUAGCAGCCUCGCGAAGAUAGGAGUUAACCUGGUCAGCUAUUCCUGUGGGAAAUGGAGUCCCAUAGACACUGAUGUUUCACAACCCGCUUCCGCCAUCAACCACUAGAAACCAUUUGUUGUACUCACAGGCCAGAAUGGCCUUGUACUACAUAUUUUGUUCUUUGCUUGGAAUUUCUGUAUCAAGUGGAGCCUCAUCAGCUAACAGUAAUCCUGGGGCUGAUGAGCACGACGGUCUUUUCUGGAAAAUUUAUUACCCGGAAAACCGGUCGUGACAGACUUGGUAUCAGAGCCAGGCUGACCAUUGGCUAAUCCUAUCUUAGCCAGGUCGAAAAACUUAGGCAAAUCAACCCACUAGACCUUAACCAAACCCUAGCCAAGCUUCUCGUGCAAGAUAGCCACACAGUGACCCAACACCUUUUGGCAGUCGGUGCCCAACCUAUCAACCUAACCUGUCGCUCAUGCGCCAGUGACCGGCCCCUAAAUAGUCCUUUCUCGCAAGCGUGUGAAGGAAGACUCCGUCCCCUUUUUUCUAUAAAAAGAGGCACGCUAGUCCCAACACAGCACAGCACAGCCUCUACCCCCAAACCAAGCUACAAUGCCUGGACCCAUAGUGCACAACGAGACCACAGCAACCAACCUUUGAGGUUUUGUGACCAUCCUCGCAAACCUCGCCCAUCGUGCCUAUGCGUUAGAGGAGCCACCAGAAUAUGUUGUGUAUCAAGGACCCAUGAGCGGUGAAGACCGUCAAUUCUGGGCCACUGUGCACAUUUACGGUAGGGGUCUAGCACCCGAGCGCCCCUACAGGUUCACUGGAAGAACAACUUCCUUCGAGCCACAAGCCAUCCAACUAGCGGCUCGAGAAGCUAUAGUUCAUCUCAGGCACUUGUCGCCCAGAGUAAACUGUCGCUCGUUCCACUACUACCCCAGACGCGAAGGGUAUGGUAGACCACCCCAAGUUGCCAACGGAGAUCACGAGACAGAUCCUGCAUUGUUGCACCUGGUGCGCUAUGUAAGUGCACUAGAGGAACUAUGCGAUCAAAUCACUAUUGAUUUAAUUGCAGCUCGUGGAGAGCUGGUUCGUCGAGCCCCGGCGAGAGAAGAAAACGAGCCCAACGCCGACAACCCAGUCGUGCUAUUUGGACAACCGAUCGAGACCCCGAGAUCAACUCCAGCCAUCAGCCGAGAUGCUUUGAUGACCCCAGAAGUGCUUCGUCGCAUAUUGGGAGCACACUCCAACGGGGUUGUGGCCAACAAUCCCCGCGAUGGUCAUCAUCACUAACCCGACCCUGCAGUUCCUCCGCCAUCUCCGACUAAUCCCGGCAGUGAGACACAUGGAGAAGCCUUGACAUCCACCAGGCACGCCCGUUUAGACAUUAAUGAGGUAGACUAAGCCGUAUGAGUAGCACCGAGUUUCAGUGUAUCCUCGCUUUGUAAUCAUGCGACCGUGUAAAUUGACGCAGCAUGUCGUUGUGCCUCUGUUUUAAUAGUAGCCUUGCAUAUUUGGUCAGCGCAUAGUUACACAUUUUCCGGGCACAACUACCAAAACCAACCCGACGACAACCACAGUAACACGUCUCUUUAUGAGAUAUGUGUAUCGCUGACACUAACCUGACCUUUGGAGCUAAGGUGGCAAAUUUAUUACCUUUCACCAUGGUAAAACGAAUCCGGCUCCAUUGCUAUAUAAAGGCCACCUUGUGACCUUACCCAGCAACCCUCACCUUGUGCACCACACUCACAACUUUUUCCUGUCAUGCCGAGCCCCAGCAUUCAUCUGAGAACCCCAGAUGCAACCCCAGGUAGCUUUGUCAAAAUAUUAUGGGAUUUUACCCGCAGUACCAUGGGUUCUACCCAGCCACCCCAGUACGAGCUGUUCAAAUUUAGAAUCACCCCAUCCACGUCGGAAUAUUGGGCAGCAGUACACAUUCCUCCUGUAGACCCCAACCAAGAUCCAACAGAAGUUUCCUUCGUGGGGAAAUCUAUGCCAACCCCACACUUGGCCAUAGAAGCUGCUGCUAAAGAAGCGAUUGCUCGUCUUCGAUACGCAGUACCCUAUGCCCGUGAACGAGGAUAUUAUUACUUUCCGAGCCGUGCAGCACCCGGAGAAGUAACGUCUUUUCCCGGUGGGCGUAUUGAGAGAGACCCAGUUCUAGCCAACCUUAUCCAGUACAUCAUCGCUCAAGAGCAUUUGAACCAAUGAGUGAUGGAUUAUCUCGAGAAUCUCACUGAUCUGAAUCCUCAGAUUGCCAUCGGUAGACCACUGAGGCCCGACCAGGAGAGACGCAUACAUCGACUGGUCAAUCCACUUCCUUCGAUAGAAGAGGAGUGUAUCCCUUUACCAGAGACAUUUUAUCAGGACCCCACCCAGUUACCGUUUUCAUUUUAGACGUCACUACUGUAUUUGUUUUUGCAGCAUUUAUAUUUGCAUGUAUCUUAUGCAUGGUACCCCAAAUUUGUGCGACGAGUCAAAUAUUUGGCUUCUACUAAUGUAUGUAGUUUUUGUUGUGGUUUAUACUCCUUUAAAUUAACUGUUUUUCCCUCGCAAAAUCCUGGAGUGAGAUUUCUUUUCCCUGAGUUGCUACACCUGCCCCUUCUCAUGACGUGGAUUAUUUAAUUUCACACAGCACCACGCAGCAGACUCACAACCAUAAUCAUUCGGACACAUACACUGUUUGCAAAACUUUGCAACAGUGUUGCAUCCAGCUAAUCACCCCCUAACAACAGUUAGCAUCCCGGCACACCCCAUCUACUCCUCAUGAUCCCCACCAUCGCGGAGAGCCAACACCCGAGCAGCAGCGUCGCGACGAUCGUCAAGGAUCAUCGCGCACAGGAGCACAGAGAGCCCCAGCAGUGUCGCCAGCCCUCCGCACAUCAGGAUCGCAAACCAGUCUGGCAUCGCCUCCGCCAUUAGGGCCUAACCCGAGCUUUUGUAAGCAGUAAUGGAGGGAGGAGGAGGAGAAGUGAGGCCAGGUGUGAGGAAGAAGAGAAGGACACCUCGGCCAUUUUUAUAGCUCGAGCUCGGUGUACGGUGGGCGAAGUCCACCAACGCCGCUCGUCGCCGAUCGCCGGUGUUCGGAGUCGAAUCCGCGAGCAGUGCCGACAGCGCGCUGGCCCGCGAGGUGAGUGCACGCUGCACCGGCAGCUAGCACGCCACGCACUACCACGGUACGGCCUAGAUGCCCUACGCGCUAGGCAUCGCCGGUGGAGAAAGCGCGAGAAAGCGCGCGGGAGAGAGGAGGAAGAGAGAACCAGAGGGAGAAGAGGAGACUGACAAUGGACCCCGGGUCCAACUGUCAGCCAGAGAGAGCACUGUGCUCUCGGGUACGACCAGCGUAUAUCUAAAUUUAGGAGUUAUUCUAAAUUUAUAUCCAGCGUAGAAAUCUCACGUUUUUGUCCCGAACCGUAGACUUUUCCACGCAGCACCAGUUUUCACACUGUGGUUUUUCACCACUUAUUGCCCUCUCACUGUAGCCACAUUUUUAUUGCGUAUAGUCUUUCUUAACACAGCUUUUAACAAAUCUCGAGGACGAGAUUUUUCUUACGGGGGAUAGUAUUGUGACACCCCAAAAAUUUGGCCUUGUUUUAAUGAAUUAAUUUUUUUUCCAGGAAUUAAAACUUUGGAUAUCUGAGCUCCUUUUUGAUUUUUUUUAAUCACUUCCUUCCCUAUGAUGAUGAGUUUUUCCCUAAGAGAAUUUUUUUCAAAUAUGUCAUUGGACAUAUUUAAUCUCUCAAAAGAAACUUUCCCUUAUUUAAUAUAACUAAUUAAAUAAUUAAGUUGCUUGAUCUUUACUUUCUUGAAAAUGGUUUUUCAAGGUUAAAUGGCCAUAUUUGAACCACAACCAUUUGAUAGAUUCACUUAAAAUUCCCACAAAAAAUUGGAGAUGUCAUGUGAUGUUUUUAAAUCACUUUUAUGCAAAAAUAUAUUUCAUUCAUUGGAUAUUUUGAGCUCUACACCCAAUUUUCUUCUCUGGUCCAGAGAGCAAUUUUGCACUACAACCCUUUUAAAUAUUUGUUUCUAGCUUCCACCAAAAUUAUGGGAUGUCAGUAGGAUCAUAUUAUUCCAUUAUAUGCAAUAAUCCAGGGAUGAUCUUUGAGAUUUUUGAGUGAAUCAACCUCAUUUUCAUUCUGGACCAACUUGAUGGUUUGUACAGCAACCAUAUUUUUGCUUGCUCUUUAACCCUUGAUUCUUUAUCCUACUUGCAGUCCUCCAUGUUAAACCCUUAAGUCCAGGAGCAUGCACCCUUUGGAUCAUUUUUGGUUCAUGAAAUAAUGCUAUUUAUUUCCUGUCCAGAAUUGAAGUUUUGUAAAACUUGCACUAACAAGUUGCUGCAUUUGACCAACUAACCCCACCACCCUCUUGUACAUCUAAAGAGACCACCAUCUGCAGUUUUUGGCCACUCCAAGACCUGCCUAAGUGCCCUUAGCAUUUUGUCAAACACCUUACGGGCAUGAUCUGUUUUGCCAUGAAUUUUUGGUUUGCACUGUGAACCUGAUCCCCUGACCAAACCAGCUUGUCCACUGAUCUCCUUGCAAGCCCAAACCUAGACCUGUUAACCCCCAGCCUCAACCGCGACCUCUAGCAUGCUCUGGCAUUUUGUCGAGCACCCUCAGUGCGUGCACGGGACGCGCCCAGAGCGCGCGUAUUGCACGACCCGUGCACCGAGCCGACACGCUGGCCCCACGGUUUUGGCUCGCUCCACGGCAUCACGCCACGUGCUCCCCUUCUCACAGCUACGCGCCAAGCCGCCCCUCGCCGCGCCCGGCAGGCCAAGCGCUAGCCGCCGCCGCCGCCUGACAGCCUCUGCCCAUGUCGGCGCCGCCGAACCUUCCUCCGCUCGCCACCUGGCCCCUGGAACAGCGCGUGCUCAUCCGCGAGUGUAUCCACUAGCGCUCGUCGCCGCCACGAUGCCCUGCUGCUACAGAACGUCGGUUCGCCGGAAGCUUAUCCACGGCCGCCGCGGAACCGCCUCGCCUCGCUUACAAAUGGACGCCCCGGGCCGUUCCCGCACACGGGCAACUUCAGGCCACCCCAAUGACGCUUCCCCAGCUCGCCAAUCGACCCAGGAGAGCUUCCUUCCUCAUCUCCGGCAACUCCUGCCGCCGCCAUCGCCCCGGCCAAUCCGGCACCUCCAGUACCUCCCCCUCUCCGUUCUCUUCGCCAGAAACCUCCUCAUCCUCCCGUGAACCCUUCCCCUACUCGAUUUUGAUCGGGAACCACCGCCGCCUCAAAACCACUUUACCACCGAAGCUUCCCUCCGCCGCGGAGCUCGCCGCCGGCGAUUUCCUCCACCUCCGACGACCCUACGACUACUGGAGUGACCACCUCGGCCCCCUGAAUCCGCUGGUGGCCUCAGCUUUCCGAACGGAGCCACCGUUCGCCGGCGAUGAUCGCCGGAGCCCCGCUCCACUCGGGCAGAGGAGGGAGACGACGCGGGCGACUGGUCAAACCUGACCAGUGGUCCAGGCGGGCCCACCGUCAGAGACCCAGCGCCGGUCCACGUGGUUAAGUGGAGGCGUAAAGCCUCAAGUACGCCUCCUCUGCACCGAAAGCGUAAUCUCGUUUGAAACAUUUUCUUUUUCUAUUUUUUUUAAAAAACAGAUUUGACCAAAUCUUUGACUGGCUAUAACUUUUUAAAUACAACUCCAAAUGAAAUGAUUUUUUUCCUACCUCUCUCAAAUUUCACCUAGUUUAUUUUAAGAUUUAUUUGAAAAAAUUUCAGAACAACUUUUGGUGCUGUUGUUAUUUUGUGUGUUAAUUCUUUUAUAUUGCGAAAAUAGGAUUUUCGAAGAGAGGGGAAAUGUUUCAAGUUUUGGACUGCACCCUGCCUUUCCACACAUUGAAGGCAAGCAUUCUGAACCCCGGCAUAAUAUUUUUGUGUGUUCGAUGACACGUUCAUAACAUCACCUCACUUUGGAGAAACUUGUUAUUUCAUGUGAUAUGAUCAUAUGCAUGGGUGCAUGUUAUUGAUUUCCAUGCUGUUGGAAAUGGACACACUUGUGAUGAUAAUCACCCUCAUGUGCCUUGCAUGCAUACCGGCAGGAACCCGGGAAAACCUCUGCCUUGGGUAGGCAUGAGUUUGUCGCCGGUCUCCGUCGGGACGGUUAUGUCUGGUAUGGCAUGGCAAGGUGAUAUGAGUGGUGACUCUGUUGGAUGAAAUAUAUUCGUCAUGCUAAUCAUGCAGGGAAUACUUAAACCUCCUGAGUCGACCGUAGAUCGAGUCUUGUGCCAGUAACCCCCAUACUUGUUUCGUACUACCACUCGUCUCUACAGCAAGUAGAGUACGGUUCAGUAAGUUGUCAACCUCUUUCUAGCACACACCUUACAGAGAGGCCAUGGUGGAAGAUACCGGUUGUAGCUGGUAGGCAGGCCACCUGGUCCGGGGGCAUGGGUGUUUCCGGUUGGGACCGAGAGGGGAGGCCACCCCUUAGAGCGCGCGAUAUAAAUUUGAUCCCAUGCUACGCGAGGUUGUAGCCUCCCCACUUAGAGUUUGCUUAACAGGUGUCGUGGGUGAUUCCAGACACGUGUGAGAUAAGCUGGUGUGUGCAAGUUAGGUGUGUUUUCAACAAAAAGACCGUAGACGGAAUUAGUCCCGAUGGACUAAAGAAAUCCGUUACUCGUGGGUAAAGAGUACACCCUCUGCAGAGAUUAAACCUAUUCGAAUAGCCGUGUCCAUGGUUAAGGAUUUCAGUCUGGGAUGGGUUAAGUGUCGGUCUUAGUGUCGGUCUUCGGAGGUGAAACUGUUAACCAGAAAUGGAAUUACUACUUGUGACUUGUGAUAACUAUGAUUAUUAUUAUUGUUGACUAACCCGUGAUAUUAUUGUUAUUAUCGAGUAUCUCUGGGAUGGUUCUACCUCCGGAAUAUUCACUAUGAUUGUUUAUUUUAAAGCCCUUUAUGUGGUGUCGCUCAGACGCCCGACUGUGGCAUUUCUUUUAAAGCCCUUUAUGUGGUGUCGCUCAGACGCCCGACUGUGGCAUUUCUUUUAAAGCCCUUUAUGUGGUGUCGCUAAGACGCCCGACUGUGGCAUUGCUUGUUAUUUGUUUCAUAAAUUUUAAUACUACCAUGUUAUUGCAUUUUUAUAAAUAACUUGCUUGCACGCAUCAGAGUUUCAUUUAUCUUUUGUGACUGACGUCAUGAGCAUAAAAUAUUUUUAGCACAUCAUUGUUAUAUUAUACCUGUGUUCAUAAUGUUUCCGAGUACAUUCAAAGUACUCACUGGCUUGUCCCUGGCUAUUGUCUUGGCCAGAUUUUCUUGCACGAAGAGGAGUGACGCGAUGACAGCCCCGGCACCUAAGCAAUGGAGAUAGCAGUCUCGCGAAGAUAGGAGUUAACCUGGUCAGCUGUUCCUGUGGGAAAUGGAGUCCCAUAGACACUGAUGUUUCACAACCCGCUUCCGCCAUCAACCACUAGAAACCAUUUGUUGUACUCACAGGCCAGAAUGGCCUUGUACUACAUAUUUUGUUCUUUGCUUGGAAUUUCUGUAUCAAGUGGAGCCUCAUCAGCUAACAGUAAUCCUGGGGCUUAUGAGCAUGACGGUCUUUUCUGAAAAAUUUAUUACCCGGAAAACCGGUCGUGACAAUCAUGUGAUAUACAAUAAUUAAAAGUGAGUAAAAUAUUUGAAUAAACACUUCUGCUUCGGUACACCCUCCCUAAACAUAUCAAUGGUUGAGAUUACUUCAUACCCCUUCAUAAUAAAGAUAGGAUGUUUCAAAAUAUCGUAGUCUGCGCUGAGAACUCCGAAGAGGCAGGAAGUCAACGUUUUGCACCUGGGCCGGGCCAUUUGUCGGUGCACCGCUUUCGAUGAGAGAAAAAUCGCGGGGAUAAAAUGAGAGCGAUGGGAUUCGAACCCUGCACAUUACAGUUUAUGUGCACGCUCUGCUAACCACUGCGCUGCCAAUCUGAAGUCUUAGAUUUCUAGCGCAAAUCCUUAAUUACGAACUAAAGGUCGUGGCAAAAGUUAGAAUAAAAGUUUGCAAAAUUAAGAUAAACUGCAAUAGGGAUCGAACCAGGGACAUCACAACGGUCAACCAUGUCAGUAGCCUCUAUACUAACAGGGAUUUGGUGUCCAAAAGGGUAGCCCAGUCUAUAUGAAUCAUAAGCCGCGAAAUUAUUUUAAAAAACUCAGACCUCAUUUUCUUGUUGGAAAAGGUAAAUAUUUUUAGAAACGCGGUCAUCUAAAAUUUUGUGAUAUUUUUAAAAGAACUAGAGCAUUUUGUGAGAACGUGAAUGUUUUUUUGGGAAUCAUAAAAGGAUCAAAACUUAGAACGAUAACAUUUUUUGGAAUAGCAAACAAUGCAUUGGGAAAUGCAAACAUUUUCAAAUUUGUCAUUUGAAAAAACUAAAACAUUUUGUGAAAACACAAGACUCUCCAACAUUUGUUUUACAAAGGAAAAAAACAUUGAAAAGGAGAACAUUUGUUGAAACAAGGAACUAAACUGAAAACACAAGCAUUUUUCAAAAUUACGAAGAAUCGUUUCAAAGUGCGAACAUUUUUUGAAAUUCCCAAAACAUUUAUUAAAUUUGCGAACAACUGUUGAAGUCAAGAAUAUUUUUUUAAUUUGGGAACAAAUUUUGUAACUUCAUCGUCCUGAUUACACUGCUUGCCAUCCGACUACGACCUCUUGUGAUAUUUAAAAGCAGGAAAUAUAUACGGGUCAACCACCAAAAUUUUCCAGCAGUUGGGCAUGCGCAACGUUGUCCACCAUGCAAAAUAUAAACAAAUCUGAACACUAAAUGCACGUUGCAUCACGUCUGGACUGUGUUUUAGAGUUUUUCAUCAAAAAAAACCCCUAGAAAAAGCAUAUAAUGUCUGAUACCAACGGAACAUGGCAUGCAUGAUGUCCAUGGUAAUGCCAAUGUGUGAGAAAAAAGUUGGGUACCUUCGGAGGAGGUGGGAAAAAAUGGUUCGAGAGUUGCACUUUCAGCCUACCCAAACGUAGCAGGCUG